UACGGGGGGGGCAAGCGUUGUUCGGAAUUACUGGGCGUAAAGUGUGCGCAGGUGGCUUCGCAAGUCGAGUGUGAAAUCCCCGGGCUUAACCUGGGAAUUGCGCUCGAAACUACGGAGCUGGAGUGUGGCAGAGGGAGGUGGAAUUCCACGUGUAGCGGUGAAAUGCGUAGAGAUGUGGAGGAACACCAAUGGCGAAGGCAGCCUCCUGGGCCAACACUGACACUCAUGCACGAAAGCGUGGGGAGCAAACAGG
rnacentral:rRNA from 1 species